UGGGGAAUCUUGCGCAAUGGAGGAAACUCUGACGCAGCUACGCCGCGUGCAGGAAGACACCCCUACGGGGCGUAAACUGCUUUUCUGCGAGAAGAAGGCAACUCUCCCUUGGAGAAUGUUUGACGGUAUCGCAGGAAUAAGGACCGGCUAACUCCGUGCCAGCAGCCGCGGUAAUACGGAGGGUCCAAGCGUUGUCCGGAAUCACUGGGUGUAAAGGGUGUGCAGGCGGACCGUGCAAGUCGGUGGUGAAAGCCCGCAGCUCAACUGCGGACGUGCCAUCGAAACUGCCGGUCUUGAGUCCCGGAGGGGCCAUCGGAAUUCGUGGUGUAGCGGUGAAAUGCGUAGAUAUCACGAGGAACACCAGAAGCGUAAGCGGAUGGCCGGACGGUGACUGACGCUCAGGCACGAAAGCGUGGGGAGCAAACAGGAUUAGAUACCCCGGUAGUCC
rnacentral:rRNA from 1 species